GAGGUUGUGGCUCAGUGGUAGAGCACUCACCUAGCACGUGCCAUGCCCUGGGUUCCAUCCUCAGUACCACA
rnacentral:tRNA from 1 species